rnacentral:rRNA from 1 species
GAUGAACGCUGGCGGCGUGCCUAAUACAUGCAAGUCGAGCGAACAGAUAAUGAGCUUGCUCCUUUGACGUUAGCGGCGGACGGGUGAGUAACACGUGGGUAACCUACCUAUAAGACUGGAAUAACCACGGGAAACCGGGGCUAAUGCCGGAUAACAUUUAGAACCGCGUGGUUCUAAAGUGAAAGAUGGUUGUGCUAUCACUUAUAGAUGGACCCGCGCCGUAUUAGCUAGUUGGUAAGGUAACGGCUUACCAAGGCAACGAUACGUAGCCGACCUGAGAGGCUGAUCGGCGACCUUGGAACGGGGACACCGUCCAGACGCCUACGGGAGGCAGCAGUAGGGAACCUGCCGCAAUGGGCGAAAGCCUGACGGAGCAACCCCGCGUGAGUGACGACGGUCCUCGGAUCGGAAAACUCUGUUAUUAGGGAAGAACAACUGUGUACGUAACUGUGCACGUCUUGACGGUACCUAAUCAGAAAGCCACGGCUAACUACGUG